rnacentral:lncRNA from 1 species
AAAUAUAUAAUGAUAUAUAUCUUUAAAUUAGUUUUAAUGGAAAAUAAUUGUACAUUGAAUACAAAUAUUAAAUUAAAAAAUAAAGAUUGAAAACAUCAUCUGACUUUCUUUAAGAAAAACAUCAGACUCAAAGUGAUUUUUUUUUUUAAGAAUUAAUUAUAGAGAGACGUUUUAGAAAGGGAGAUGAGUUAGAGAUGUUUAUGGGUCUGAGUUCGGGUUAGAUUUAAAGCAUGAUAUUAACAUAUUUUAUAUUUAUUCAAGUUCGGUUUGAUUCGAAAUAUGAGCAUAAAAUUUUGUUCAAAUUUCUUCGUAUUUACAAAAGACUAAUCUAAAUUCAUUUUAGGUCCGUCCAUAUUAUUUUAAAAAAAUAUUUAUUUCAUUUCAUUUUAUUUUAAUAUUUAAUAAUUUUUAAUUUUUUAUUUAUUGAAAAUUUUUUAUAUAGUCAUUGUAAUGGGCCAAAAUUGCCCGGCCCAAGACCCACAAACAAUAAACAAAAAAAGACCAAAACAGUCCAAUUUUUAAGCCUUGCCCAGCCCAAAUCACUAAAUAACAAACCCAAUACAAACCCAAACUAACCCAAAACCCUAAGCCCAAUCCUAUGGCCCAAAUUUUUUUUUCCCAGAAACAGCAAACCCUAGCACUUAGGCACUCCCUUUGGCCGGCGCCGCCUCCACCUUCACGCCACACCCGCAUUUCGCGCCUUCAUGUUCGCUCCACGUAGCCGUUACGCUCGCGCCUCCAUGCCUGCAAAAAAAAUGGGAAGCAGUACCAGAAAGUGCAACGAAAUAGGAGCAAGUUGUUUUGUUUUUUUUUCCUUUUCGGCUAUAAAGGCCGAAACAAAAUCAUUGUAAGGGGGGAUUGACUUUUGAAUACAAAAUACACAAAAGAGAAAUAGAGAGCAAGCCAAAAGAAUACUUUAAAGGUGGUUCUGUCGCUGUUAUAUGCUGUUUUUUUUUCCCUCUUUUAUUUUUUUAUUUUGAUUCAAAUCCACAACACACACAUAGUAUAAGAGGGAGUGAAAGAGGUUUACCGGAGUCGUACUCGGGAUAUCGAGGGGGUUAAAUACCUCGUUUACGUGGGUCGGGCCACCGUCUGCGGACAUGGUGUGUCGUAUCUCCGAUGGGAACGGCGCUGGCCGAAUGGGGAAGGAAAUGAGAAAAACAUUUUUUUAGUUUUAGGGUUUUUUCCAAAAACAAAGGUUAAAAUGUUUUAAAACAAUUUUUUUUUUGUUUAAAUAAAGCCCAAACGGCACUGUUUCAAUGCUGGCCGGCGCGCGCACCGACCCAACCCGGGGAGGAUCCACGCAUUUCUCUGCUUCGGGGAAUUUUUGAUAUUAAUCAUUCCCUUCUGCGAUGCUAUUCGAUUAGGUCUUUUUACCUCUUCUAAUUUUUCCUAGAAAUUUUAUGAAAGUUUCAUUUUGAUCCAUACUUAAACGCUGCGUUCAAGAACUUGGAAUAAUCGUUUUCGAUCCCCUCACACUUGCACACAUUACGCUUUAGACCCUAUUUCAAUUUCAAUGAUUUUUUUAUUUGUUAAUUGCCUC